AUGUUGAGUGUGGCCGAAAGGUGGGAGCGAAAUAAAACAAGGAGCAGAACCGCGAAGAAGCCAUGUUUGGUGCGUCGAAGUUUAAACUCGUAGGACUUGGGAGGAGCCAAGGUAUAUCCGCAGAAGAGACCACCCCUGCCCUUUCGCUUUGACGCUCAUUGGGCCUUUUGGCUGCGCAUUUCACCCCGGGCUGAGAAAACAAGCUGGGGAUUCGACAAGAAUGAACUCAAAGUCUGGAAACGGCAGCUUCUGAGAGUUUACAAUGUUUCACCAACUGUCGUCCAAAUAAGUCGUCACCCCUGUCAGAGUAGUUGCAGCUCUGCCGUUACCCACUGCUGUCACUGUGGCCGUUUUAUUCGCGAGGGUUACAGUUCUGUUUAGCAUGCAUCUAAUGACUUAAGACUCCACGCAAGUAAAACGGAGUUUCCUCCCAUUAAGUAUUGGCUUUGCUUUAACAGUGCUUUGAGAGGCUCUCUGUGGCCAACAUAUCUUCUCAUAUCUUUGUCCUCGUUUCCCAAUCUCCGCGUGGUGAAAUCAUCUAUCAAGACUUGGCUUAAAGGACCUCUCUUCUGCAAAUAAUGCCAUCUUCCGCUAGGUGCUCACUGCACACAGACUCGCCGCCCACCACUUCUGUCCACCUUCUGAACUCCGAUAGUUAUUUACCCAGAGACUGUUUCUCAUCUUUAAGUGUCGUGAAGACUUUAAGAUCUGUUUUAUCUCUCUAUACCCCAAAAUGGCCUAGCACAGUAACUAGGACAUUGUAGGUGCUCAAUAAAUGUUUGUCGAAUAUCAAUGACAGCAGGAGGCAGUAAAUGGUCCCUCUUUGUAGGGCCUACAGCUGUGCCUGAGUAGGAUGUACAGAAGUCCUGCAUACGUGUGAAGUGUCUCCAGGAAGCUGCACUGGAGGGGACAGGAAAUGUGGGUAAUCGUAUGGUGCAAGUGGUAGCAAAAAAGACAACAUAAGGAAAAUGUUAUUUAGGUUUUGCCCAGUCUUGCUGUUUAAAGCCCUGUGUUAGAUGCUUUUCAUGCGCUAUUUUACUGAAUGUAAACAACCACCUUAUUAAAUAUACUCACUUUUUUAAAACGAAGAAACACGUACUGGCCGGUCACAGUGGCUCACGCCUGUAAUCUCAGCACUUUGCGGGGCCGAGGCGGGUGGAUCACGAGGUCAGGAGUACAAGACCAGCCUGGCCAAGAUGGUGAAACCCCGUCUCUACUAAAAAUACAAAAAUUAGCCGGGCGUGGUGGCGGGUGCCUGUAAUCCCAGCUACUCGGGAGGCGGAGGCAGGAGUAUCGCUUGAACCUGCGAGGCGGAGGUUGCAGUGAGCCGGGAUCGCACCACUGCACUCCAGCCUGGGCAACAGAGUGAGACUCCAUCUCAAAAAAAUAAAAAAAAAGAAAGAAAGAAAGAAAAAGAAACAAGUACUGAAAAAGCUAAGUAAUUUGCCCAAUUUUAUACCAUCAAUAAAAGGGAGCUGUAAGCUUUGGGAUCUGCUUUGCCCCAAAGCCUGUUUAUACUUUUUCAGCCCCAUGCUAUCCCCUUGACAACAGAGAAGACACCAAAGUUCUGUCACUGUGCUCAGAGCAGGGUUACCCUGGUAUCAGCCUAUGCACAAUUUCUACUUCUUAUACCUUGUGUUGGUCUGUCUUCUCCUCGCCUCCUAAAUUCCCCAAGCACAUCAAUGUCUUUCUUUUCUAAUAUCCCGUUACUCUUGUGUUUACCCUACAGAUUGGCCCUGAAUCUAUCAAGUUUUGUACUAGUUGCAUAUAGUUUCAUGAGAGUAAUUAAUCUCUGGAACAAGAUUGGAGGUUUACUGUGGAAAGGUUUGUGGCCCUUCCCAGACGUCUCCGCAGUGUUAGGCCGGUAAUAGGUAUUCAAUAUGGCUCCCUUGUUUCUCCUACUUUUUAGUAGACACUAAGAUUGCAUUUUUCUUUAUAUUCUUUGUUGAUUACUGUGGCCUUGACUCUCACCACUCUUUGGAUAACUGGAUCUUGGCCCUAGACUAAAUCUCCAAUUACCCGUUACCCAUCUUCACAUAGAUACAGAAGUCACCAGCACCUUCAGCUCCCAUAUUAAGGUUAUCAUUUUUCCUCCCUCAGUCUCACAAAGCCAGCUCCUCCUCGUUUCCUCUGUAUUUCUGUUCAUGGCCGUCACAGAACACUCUUCUGAGAACUAAGAGAACCAAAGUUUCAGAAAUAUUAUAUACUCCUCUGUACGCCUUGCUCCCACCCAGUUAUGAAGUCUCUAAAUACCACUGAUGCAUAUUUCUUAUAUGUACUUCCCUUUUGUCUGAUUGCACCACUGCCUUCCUAAUUUAGACUGUCAUUUCUACUGCCCAAAUGAUUAUAGUAGUAUUUCCACAGUUCAGCUUGAGUUUUGUCUCUAUCAUGUCUCUACCUGCCAAGGGACAAAUGCUUUUGGAAUCCUGAUCUGACAUGAAAAAAGUUCACCUGAAGCUGCCAUCCUGGAAGACUAUGAGAUGGAGAUGCCCAAGAAGCCCCAGGUAUUCCUAAUCCCAAUUGUUUAAGUCUUUCCAGUGUUAACCACCAGACAUGUGAUGGAUUAAGGACUCCAGAUUAUUCCAGUUCCCAGCUGUCUUAGUCAGGGUUCUCCGGAGAAGUUAUCACAUGAUUACAGAGGCUGGCAAGUCUGACGUCUGCAGGGUAGACCAGCAAGUCAGAGACCCAUGGAAGUUGAUGUUGCAGCUCAAGUCCAAAGGCAAUCUGCUGGCAGAAUCCUCUCUUCUGUUUCCUCAGUGUGUUUUUACUUAAGAAACUGAUUGGAUGAGCCCCACCCACAUUAUGGAGGGAAAUUGCCAGUGCUCUGGAUGCAAAUGGAUUUUUCCUUAGGAAUUCAGAGUUGCUGAGUUUUGCAUCAAGACUGAAAGAGGCCAAAAAGAGAAGCUGUGUGGUAGGACUGUGUGAUGACUCAUCCUACUCAAAAUUCUCUAGACUCGGUUUGUGCAAUAUUGGAUUCUACAAUGCUGAGCAAGGGAAGAAAAGUGUUUAAAGGAGAGCCACAAAUAAGAAUAUAUAGGUUGAAUAUAAACUUUAUAGAGCCUGAAUAGAUUGGAAUGGAAUAGAUGGAGGCUUCACACUCCUUCCCACAUGCAUUGUCCUAUGCAUCUCUUCAUCUGGUGUUCAUCGGUAUCCUUUGUAAUAUCCUUUAUAAUAAGCUAGUAAAUGUGA
rnacentral:lncRNA from 1 species